CCUCCGGGUUCUUGGAGCAGAGUCGCUUGGGGAUUGAGCGAGUUGGGUGGGAUCGAGCGAGUUGGGUGGGAUCGUCCGAGCUCUUGGACGGUCUGAGGGGGAGGAGCAGGACGCCUGGGCGUGCAGGUCGCCCACGCGCUCUGUCGUCUUGCAGUGUCGCUCUUGGCUCCCGAAGGACGCUGCGGGUCGCCGUGGCGCUCCCCGGGUGACCGUGCAGUCCCGGUCUCCCCGCCGCGGGCUGGUGUCACAGCUGUGAGGUCGGGCUGGGCCCUCCGGGGCGGGAAGGACGGACUGGUUCUGCUAGACACCGUUGAGCAAGCUCAGGCGUGUGUUCUUGGAUCGCAUUCUCUUAUGUGGAAAUUUUUGUUUAAGUGGGAUAAGAGCAAAGGGAAGAAGAUAGCAAGACCUCGAAGAUCCGAGCGUGAAAUGUUUGAUCCCUCGGGUGGGGUAGGAGAGCACCCUCUACGGAUGAGCACCAGGCACGAGCAUUACUGUAGCAGAGACUGGACCGGCUCGAGGAGGAAGGGGCUGGCGCGGAACACGAGGUAGCAGGGUGCUUACUGGAAGAGGAAAGCUGUUGGAGAUCAGAUCAUGCAAAGCCUUGUUAGGUUAAAUCAGGAGCUUGAGCUUGAUCUUCACGGAGUGAUCGUGAAGAGUUUGUCCCCCCUACACACACACUGUACUGGGGAUUGGGGAUCAAACCCAGGGGCGAUCUACCACUGCUAUAUCCUCAGGCUUUUCUUUUUCUGUUUUUAAUUUUGAGACAGGUUUUGCUGAGUUGUCCAAGUGGGACUCGAACUUGGGGUCUUCGUACUUCACCCUCCCUUGGUGAUUACAGGCGAUCUUUCAUCUAGAACUGAGAGAUUAAAUCUCUGUUGCAACCCCAGGAAACUAAUACGAGGCUCAAGAUAACCACGGGAUAAGUUUGGAGACCCACUGGGCCCACUUUAAGAAGGAUAUCUGAGUGAAAACUCCUUGCUCAGUUGACCAUCUAUCCGGAAGUACCCACACUAAAUGAAAAAGUGCCAGAAUACCAUGGCAUCAGUAGAUGAAUUACAACACAAACCCUUCAGCCUGGAGCAAAGCCCUGUCAUCCUCUGGAAAACUGCUUUUAGUUUGCAACUGGAUUUUAACCAUGGGAACCAAGUAACCAUGUGGCCUGAUCAUGUGAUAAUAUGUAUGAAUGCUGUUUCAUUAAUUGAAAUACAUGCCAUGCAAUGUAAAAUAUUAGAAAUAGAGAAGUUGUAAUCCAAGACAGAUGGGAACUACUAUCUUCUCAUAUUUUUAAAAUCUAAACUUCUUGAAAAAAUAAAGUCAUAUUAAGAAAAUUAAACUCAAAUCACCAUGUCAUAGUUAAACCAAUACUUUCCAAAAUAGUGAACCAUAGCCACUCAUGUUAUUUUGUACUUCAGUUAAACAUUAUUUCAUCUUUGUCUCAUCUUUUAAAAUUUCCACUGUAUGUUUUACAGUAUACAUAAUACCUAAACAUUUACUUUACCAUGUGCACAUUUUUAACAUGCUAGGGAUAUGUUAAUUUUUACUGAGAUUAUAGAACUAAAUUAUUAGCUAUAUGGGUGGGUUAGACUAAGUAAAAAACUAAAUUAUGACUCAGGAAGCUGAGGCAGGAGAAUCACAAGUUCAAGGCCAGCCUAGACAACUUAGCAAGCCCUGACUCAACAUUAAAAAAAUUUUAAGGGGGGCUGGGGAUUUAGCUCAGUGGUUUCACCACCUGCUGCACAAAUGCAAGGACCCAAGUUCGAUCCCCGGUACAAAAAAAAAAAAAAUUUUAAGGGGGAACUAGAAAUGUAGCUCAGGGGUGGAGUACUCCUGGGUUUGAUCCCCAGUAAUGCAAAACCAAAAACCCACUCACUAAAUUAUAAUAACUAGCCUAUUCUUACAGGAAGAUGAGUAAAUAAUAUUAAAAAGUUGUGAGCUUAAGUAGAAGUCUAGAUGAUAGUGCUGCUAGAGACAAUUCUAGUUAGUUUCUAGCUUUUUCAUAUCAAACAUUAGGCACCUAAACAUAAUAUGAUGGCAUUGUGAUUUGUAAAUACUUAUACUUGGAUUCAUGAAUUAAUACAUACAUCUACUUCAGGGAUCUGCCUUGAAUAGUUGAAAUAUGAAAGAUUGCAAUUCCUUUUCACUGAACAUUCCACCCCUUAGUUGUACCAACUAUUCAUUGUUAUUAUUUUGUCCUCUUUAAGGAACUUAGUAUAAGUUGGAUACAUAGCCUCUAUUUCUAAUGCAAUAAACAUUUUAUCACAA